UGGGGAAUUUUGGGACAAUGGGCGAAAGCCUGAUCCAGCAAUGCCGCGUGCGUGAAGAAGGCCUUCGGGGUUGUAAAGCACUUUUGUCCGGAAAGAAAUCCUCUGGGUUAAUACCUCGGGGGGAUGACGGUACCGGAAGAAUAAGCACCGGCUAACUACGUGCCAGCAGCCGCGGUAAUACGUAGGGUGCAAGCGUUAAUCGGAAUUACUGGGCGUAAAGCGUGCGCAGGCGGUUUUGUAAGACGGAUGUGAAAUCCCCGGGCUUAACCUGGGAACUGCAUUCGUGACUGCAAGGCUAGAGUAUGGCAGAGGGGGGUAGAAUUCCACGUGUAGCAGUGAAAUGCGUAGAGAUGUGGAGGAAUACCGAUGGCGAAGGCAGCCCCCUGGGCCAAUACUGACGCUCAUGCACGAAAGCGUGGGGAGCAAACAGGAUUAGAUACCCUGGUAGUCCACGCCCUAAACGAUGUCAACUAGUUGUUGGGGAUUCAUUUCCUUAGUAACGUACUAACGCGUGAAGUUGACCGCCUGGGGGAGUACGGUCGCAAGAUUAAAACCUCAAAGGAAUUGACGGGGUCAUAGCUGAUUUCC
rnacentral:rRNA from 1 species